GAGCCCCAGCGCGGCGGGGUCUGUGCCCUCGAGGCCUGGCUUACAGCUGAGACUUGUGCUGCCAAGCUGGCGGGCUGAAACACCUUGACAUAACGUUAAAAAAACCCCAAAACAACAGGACCCUAAUACUCCGAAAGCGUACACCUGCCCCCCUGCUUGUGUUUUACCUAGUUUUAACCUUCAAGCAACAUAUUUUCACGGUGGAGAAACCGAGGGAGGAACGUGGCUGAAAAUUGCUCUAGUCUAGAGAGCGAGCGGAAGGCAGGAGCAGAAUUAACAUUCUGUCACCACUGCUGCCCUUCACUAAAGCAUCUCUCGGUCUUGUUUCUUGCAAACCCAGCUGGCAAUUAAAAUGAAAGUAUUGGAGUGAAGAAGGAACCGGGGAGAAAGGACAGUCUUGACUACGUGAUUCAGCUGAGCUUCCUAAGCCAAAAACCCCGUUCAGUGUGGGUUGGAGAAAGUCACUGCCUUGGAGGAGCCUGCAGCAAAUCAAACCAGAUGUUCCCUUUGAUCCUGGUUUCACUCAGCACCGCUUUGCAUGCCAAGGCCAUGCUCAAACUGUCUCUGUCAGACCAUGGAAACGCUUCAGGUGUAUUUUACUGCAUCUGAGGCUGAAAUGAUCGUCAUCUGAUGUGUAACAGCAACCGGAAUUUCCCGAGGCCGAAUUGUACUCUGGGCCAUCACUGGACAAGCUGUUGUGUGUCUAUCCAAGAUGUGCUGUGAAGUCCAUCCAGCGGGUCAACGUGUCUGCAUCAUUCUUAAAACCAGUCUGCAUCUUCAGCCCGUGGAGAGCUGCCUCUGCUGCUCUUGCUAACCCUUUAGAAAACAGAAAGACAAGCCGUGAGGAGUUCAUCCUUCAGAAAUCUCUGAAAGACAAGGAGCUCGUCCUUCAGUCAUGCCAGCUCCUACAUGCUUAAGUAACUUAAAGGACAGCAGCAGCCCCUUCGUGUAGGUGGGUGUUUGCUGGAUCAGGCCCUCGGCUGCGUAGCAAAGCCCACGAUGCUGUGAAGUUCACCAGCUCUACCCCUACUGAUGUAGGUCGGUAGCAAGUUUGUGGUGUUGAGGUGCCCGUUACCUGGGACCAGACUGCCAGGACAAUUAACUCCAGCUCUGUGAGCUCAGAUAUCAUCUCUCUGCUGAUACUUCAUCAGGAGCAGGCAGGGCAAGCCAUCCCAUUUCUGUUGAAUUAACCCAAAUGCACAAUUUGGAGAUUCUGCAGGCUUUUUAUGCUGGGUUGGGGUCAGUUACAAAGACACGUGAUCCUUCCAGGAUCCUCCUGCACCCCUCGGACGCUGGGCAGCAGCGGGCUGAGCUGAGCACCGCCGUGUCACGCAGCCAGGGAGGGUUUGGUGACCGUUAGAAAACCAAAAGCCAGAUUCCCAGGAAAUUAUUGAACCGGGGCGCUGCGCCCACUGACUGUCACGCUAGUGAUUAGAACGUGGCAUAAAUCUUCGGGCUGAAGGGUUUAUGUGUUGCAGUCAUGUAUUGCCCUGGGAGAGCUGUGGAAGGAGACACAAAGGAAAGCAGCAAACUUCAAACUUGGAGCAGGCAGUAGAGCCUCUUUGGUGAUGCUUUGGCACAGUUUUGUCUUCUUGCCUCUUACUGUUUGGUGAUCACCCAGAAGUCACGUUUUACGUUGGGGUGAGAAGGUUUUUAACAUCUCUCAACCAAUUAUACCUCAAAUUACAUGUCUUUACUAAUACACUUUUUCAUUAAAGAAACAACUUUUUUUUUUUUUUCCCCCAAAUACACACUUCCUGAUGUUGCCUAGAUACAAAUUUCCAUUCCUGUUCCCUAACCCCUCCAUCAUCUGCCGCAAGGUGCUGGAUUUUGCCAGGCUCAGUCCUCUAGCUGCGAAAAGCCCCUGGGUUUGUAAUCAGGCAUCUUUGCGGGUCCCUUCUCCAUUGUUACCCACAAGGUUAGUCGCAGAUUCAGUUUGACAAGCCAUAACUAAUUUAUUUGAGCUAAAUUAUAUGAAAGCAGUUAUCAUAUUAACUGUGCUCACAGCUCCGCCUCUCGUAUUGUGCGGUUUGUUUCUGGUCUCCAGUUAUAAUAGGCGGGUUUUUUUAGAUUUGUGUUUUACCCAGAUGCUGAGGAUUAAAUCAUGGCUUUUUAGUUUCUAGUGUAAUUGAAUUUUAUACUGUCUGGGCAGCCUUCAUUUAAGAAUCUCAUAGCGCUUUAAAAACGUUCCUUAAUGAAGCUUCACAAAACUUGAGUGAGGGAGGUAAAUAUUGUUAUUAGCAUGGGUUUAUAGGUGGGUGAACAGAGGGACAGGGAGCUGUAGGGUAUAGCAAAUGCUCUCCGGGAAAUCAUCAGUACAGAACUCAAGAGCAGACUUGAUCAAAAAAAGGAUUUAAUUUCACAUGGAAAACAGCCACUAGCAAUUUUUGACAAAGAAAUUUAAAGCUGACAAUUGCAAUAAUAACCAUUCUUUUCAGUUGUCAGUCAAAACCUUAAUUUUCUGACAAAAGGAAAUAAAUGUUAGAGAAGAGCAAAGAUAUUUGACCGCUUAU